UACCUGUUCCGCAAACAGAAAUGUCAUAUGUGCUAAUACAAUGUUGCAGUAAUAACCAAGAUGGAUGCAAUUCAAAUAGAAUUCUUAGAAUUAUAUGAUUCAAUGAAAUGUUGAGUUUAUGCCUACAACUAUACUUGUUAAAUCUGAUUACAAGGUCGUAUGUGCCAUUGAUGAAGUGCAGAGCACCUAUAACUACAACUUAGAGGAGAAAAAGAAACCAAGAUUUAAAGAAAGAAUAAUCUUAUGCUAUGUUAAUAGAAAAUUUGAUUGCAUUACA
rnacentral:misc_RNA from 1 species